CCCCUCAUCCAGCAGCAAAAUAUGAUGGAACGAUGUUACUAUGAGAACUCUCUACCCAGGGAACCUCUGGUUCAGUCAACCUGUAGAUAUGACAGUUGUCAGAUGCCAAAACUUGUUUGCCAGAAUGCACCACCCCCUCUGCCACCAAAGAAAUAUGCCAUGACCAGUGUGCCACAGUCAGAGAAAAAUGAUUCUACUCCUGAUGUCAAAGUAGCAGAGACGUUUAAGACUAACUCUCCUAGUCUUCUGAAGCACAGUCCAAGUGCAGCCUCAGAGCCAGGCGUAGACAUGAGUCCGUAUGUGAAUGAUGAAAGAUUUAAGGAUACAUUUCAAGCCAAAGAGUAUGUCGGCAACACAUCAAACACCCAAUCCAGCUCUUCAGCUAAAGAUUUUCAGGCAGACUCGGGUGUAGCUGUUGGUGCUUUCUGCCAGCCAGAAACAGACUCUAGUUCUACAUGUCCAAAUGAGACAGUUUCAUUAACUACCUAUUUUUCGGUUGAUAACUGCAUGACUGAUACAUAUAGAUUGAAAUACCAUCAGAGGCCCAAGAGAGCUAGGACCUGGGUUACAUAG
rnacentral:lncRNA from 1 species